rnacentral:rRNA from 1 species
GACGAACGCUGGCGGCGUGCCUAAUACAUGCAAGUAGAACGCUGAAGAGAGGAGCUUGCUCUUCUUGGAUGAGUUGCGAACGGGUGAGUAACGCGUAGGUAACCUGCCUGGUAGCGGGGGAUAACUAUUGGAAACGAUAGCUAAUACCGCAUAAAAUUGAUUAUUGCAUGAUAAUUAAUUGAAAGAUGCAACUGCAUCACUACCAGAUGGACCUGCGUUGUAUUAGCUAGUUGGUGAGGUAACGGCUCACCAAGGCGACGAUACAUAGCCGACCUGAGAGGGUGAUCGGCCACACUGGGACUGAGACACGGCCCAGACUCCUACGGGAGGCAGCAGUAGGGAAUCUUCGGCAAUGGGGGGAACCCUGACCGAGCAACGCCGCGUGGGUGAAGAAGGUUGUCGGAUCGUAAAGCUCUGUUGUAAGAGAAGAACGGGUGUGAGAGUGGAAAGUUCACACUGUGACGGUAUCUUACCAGAAAGGGACGGCUAACUACGUG